AGUCGAGCGGGGAAGGUAGCUUGCUACUGGACCUAGCGGCGGACGGGUGAGUAAUGCAUAGGAAUCUGCCUAUUAGUGGGGGACAACGUUCCGAAAGGGACGCUAAUACCGCAUACGUCCUACGGGAGAAAGCAGGGGAUCUUCGGACCUUGCGCUAAUAGAUGAGCCUAAGUCGGAUUAGCUAGUUGGUGGGGUAAAGGCCUACCAAGGCGACGAUCUGUAGCGGGUCUGAGAGGAUGAUCCGCCACACUGGGACUGAGACACGGCCCAGACUCCUACGGGAGGCAGCAGUGGGGAAUAUUGGACAAUGGGGGGAACCCUGAUCCAGCCAUGCCGCGUGUGUGAAGGAGGCCUUUUGGUUGUAAAGCACUUUAAGCGAGGAGGAGGCUACCGAGAUUAAUACUCUUGGAUAGUGGACGUUACUCGCGGAAUAAGCACCGGCUAACUCUGUGCCAGCAGCCGCGGUAAUACAGAGGGUGCAAGCGUUAAUCGGAUUUACUGGGCGUAAAGCGCGCGUAGGUGGCCAAUUAAGUCAAAUGUGAAAUCCCCGAGCUUAACUUGGGGAUUGCAUUCGAUACUGGUUGGCUAGAGCAUGGGAGAGGAUGGUAGAAUUCCAGGUGUAGCGGUGAAAUGCGUAGAGAUCUGGAGGAAUACCGAUGGCG
rnacentral:rRNA from 1 species